rnacentral:lncRNA from 1 species
GGGAGACAGCACAAAGGACCUGAGGCUGGGGGUGGCUCCUCUGUCUUUGUGGAAUCUCCAUGGGGGAUUGGACCCUCCCCUAAAGGCGCAUGGACAGGGUGGCGCAGUCGAUAACAGAUCAGAAGAGUUCCUGACCCUCUGAAGGAACCACGCCAAGCCUUUCAAGUGUUCACCAGGACUUUCUUUUCUGUCUACAUCACCCAGCCAAGAUACCAGCCCGCCCCUGAGCUCAGAAGAUGUCUGUGGUAUGAAUGGAUUCCAAGCAGAUGACACAAAAAUGAAGAAGAUGGGAGAACGGUCGGGAGCCACCCUCUAGCAGACGAUUACAUUUAUAUGCAUUAAAGAUGGACUCUGUCUUA